rnacentral:rRNA from 1 species
GAUAAACGCUGGCGGCGUGCCUAACACAUGCAAGUCGAACGGGCGAAGCUUUUAAGUUUACUUUUAAGCCUAGCUAGUGGCGGACGGGUGAGUAAUGCGUGAGCAACCUGCCUUUCAGAGGGGGACAACAGUUGGAAACGGCUGCUAAUACCGCAUGAUGUAUUUUGAGGGCAUCCUUGAGAUACCAAAGAUUUUAUCGCUGAAAGAUGGGCUCACGUCUGAUUAGUUAGUUGGUGGGGUAACGGCCUACCAAGACCGCGAUCAGUAGCCGGACUGAGAGGUUGAACGGCCACAUUGGGACUGAGAUACGGCCCAGACUCCUACGGGAGGCAGCAGUGGGGAAUAUUGGGGCAAUGGGCGCAAGCCUGACCCCAGCAACGCCGCGUGAAGGAAGAAGGCUUUCGGGUGUAAACUUCUUUUAUCAGGGACAAACAAACUGACGGGUACCUGAAGAAUAAGCCACGGGCUAAACUACGU